rnacentral:ribozyme from 1 species
UGCCCAGCAACUCCUACCCCUACCUCUUCGCGAUACUGGCCGGGGUACGAGUAACCUUAGGGAAGAUAGGGUAACUAACCCCGGUGGGAGCUCUGGUCGUUUGGUGAUAGGGAAGG